GUUGACUUAAAGACAUGUGAGAAAGUUUUUUAAAACGGUUUCUGUCAUAGUCUUAUUCUUCAGCGGUCAUUUUUACAUCUCAGUUAGGUCAAAAUAAGGGAUUUUGCCGAAAUUUGACAAAAUCAGCAGGAUUUCAGCCAAAUUUAAGAUCAGGAAACAUAGAGCGCAGCCGUCGACAACCUUAAUAAUCAAGUUAAACAUGUAAAAUGUCAUUACAAACAUUAUUAUCAAAGAUCUUUUUUGUCGGCAUAUGCGCUCUAUGUUUUCUGUCCAAAUAUUCAAUGGAAAUUUACCCAUUUUCAUUGUUUUUUUUCAUAGAAAAUCAAAAUGAGUACUAUUUGUGACGUCAUGAAUAGAACGCAGGAAUGUAAAUUUGUAAAAAAGACUUAUUUCCUAUCUUGUCACUAUAUAAGCUUUUAUUCAUUGUGAUAGUGGUCAAUAAAUCCCGAUUUAAAAUUUAGGCUAAAAAAGGGGGC
rnacentral:lncRNA from 1 species